GAUGAACGCUGGCGGCGUGCUUAACACAUGCAAGUCGAACGAAGCAUUUAAGACAGAUUACUUCGGUUUGAAGUCUUUUAUGACUGAGUGGCGGACGGGUGAGUAACGCGUGGGUAACCUGCCUCAUACAGGGGGAUAGCAGCUGGAAACGGCUGGUAAUACCGCAUAAGCGCACAGUACCACAUGGUACAGUGUGAAAAACUCCGGUGGUAUGAGAUGGACCCGCGUCUGAUUAGCUUGUUGGCGGGGUAACGGCCCACCAAGGCGACGAUCAGUAGCCGACCUGAGAGGGUGACCGGACACAUUGGGACUGAGACACGGCCGAGACUCCUACGGGAGGCAGCAGUGGGGAAUAUUGCACAAUGGAGGAAACUCUGAUGCAGCGACGCCGCGUGAGUGAAGAAGUAGUUCGCUAUGUAAAGCUCUAUCAGCAGGGAAGAUAGUGACGGUACCUGACUAAGAAGCUCCGGCUAAAUACGUG
rnacentral:rRNA from 1 species